GGAGUUGCAAGGAGCGACCUUUUUGAACAUUGAGACGUGAGUCCUUCUCCAGGAAGGCCGCUCCGUAUUCUGAACCUUUACCUUUUACGAAUAUGAUAUUUCCCCCAGAAAUACCAGGUUUCAUAUCAACACUUCAAGUGUGCCGCCAAUGCCGCUUUCUGCCCAUGAGAGCGAAGCAGCACCGCACGGCAUACCUGGCCCACCAGACAAUCCAGCAGGGAGUGGUACCUUCGUUGCCAUGCACAAGCAUUAUCUCCUUCUGCAGUGGUCAGCAAAAGGGGCGUGU